rnacentral:rRNA from 1 species
CGUCUCAGUUCAGAUUGCAGGCUGCAACUCGCCUGCAUGAAGUCGGAAUUGCCAGUAAUCGCAGAUCAGCAUGCUGCGGUGAAUACGUUCCCGGGCCUUGUACACACCGCCCGUCACACCAUGGGAGUCGGUAACACCCGAAGUCGGUAGCCUAACCGUAAGGAGGGCGCCGCCGAAGGUGGGAUUGAUGACUGGGGUGAAGUCGUAACAAGGUAAC